rnacentral:pre_miRNA from 1 species
UUUUUAGUGUAAGUAUGUCCCAUGCAAUAUUUGGAACAGAUUUAUACUAAAA